GGGGGCGACAUGGUUUCGACGGUGGUGGAUGAAGUAUGAGCAGCGUGCCGAGGUCCCCGGUGGCCUCGUAAAAAACCGGGAAACACUUAACUGCGAACAAUAACUUCGCUCUCGCUGCCUAAUUAAAGUGCAGCGCGUUCCGGUCGUAAUUGCCUGCUAGCGACUAGGAACGACAGCAGCGGGCCUUGAGUCGGGAACCGACAACAUACCGAUAAGAGUACUUCGUUGUCUAGCGAUGUCGAAAAGCGAGUCUGACGCGUUUCGAAAGGGCGAAUCCUCAAAAGAAAGACUACGCACGUAGAUACUGAUAUGGAAGCACUAUCGGACGCGGGUUCGAUUCCCGCCGCCUCCACCA
rnacentral:tmRNA from 1 species